AAUAGUAUUGCUGUGAACAUGGAUGUGGGGAUAUGCGUUCAGGUCCCUGCUUUCCAUCCUUUGUGCAUACAGCCAGAAGAGGCAUUGCCGGGUCAGACAGUAAUGCUUUUGUAACUUUUUGAGGAAUUGACAUACUGUUCUCCAUAGUGGCUGUUCCAAACCCUAGGACUCCGAGGAAGCCAGUCUGGCGACAGUUUUCUUAGUGCUUCUCCUUUCUGCCUUGGCCUCCCAACACUCCUCGUCUUAGCCCCCUCCCCCGCGCCCCUGCUUUCCUCCACCCUGUGGAGAGGGCCACACAGGAGAAGCAAAAUGGUCUUACAGCCGUGGUGCCACAUUGAAGGCAAGACACUUUUGUGAUUACUGUCUUCCUGCAGGAGGGGGCUAAGACCCUGUGGUUCUUUCUGUGAGUUGUAGGAAAACGGUCGUGGCGUUGGCGUCCUAGCCCUGACUCCACAGACUACUAAGAGCAUCCCUGAGAAAAGUCAGUAGCUCAGUUUCCCUCUCCAUAAAAUGCCAUUUCUUUCUGGCUCUCCGAACUGGGCUCCCGCUGAUGACUCUAGCUCUAAGCAUGCUUAGACAAGAACAAAAUGCUGUACAAACUCUUCCCGUUUUGUUAAAACGCUAUCCGGAGCAAGGAGUUCCAUCUCACCGUUGCGCUAACGCUCUUGACCACAGAUUGCAUCCGGUAGGGGGCAGGCAGGUCAUAACGCACCCAAUGCUCCGUCCCCCUCCACCACCACCGGGGACCGGGGAUCCAGGGUGCCACCAACACCCCUUCUCUCCCUUUUGCAGGAAGGUUGCCUCUGUCUGCGGCGCCUCAUCAGAUUUUUAUGCUUCAAGGAUUAAGCCUCCGAGGUGACACUUGCAAUGUAGCUGAAUCAGAAAAACAACAGCAACGCCACCGACAGCAGCCAACAAGGGAACUGGGAACUGAAAGGAAAAUUGUCUUCUUUGUAUCCAAUGCCGAGCAGGUUUCUUUCAUACUCCAUAUUUACUCGGAUCGAUCUUCAGAAUGCGCAACCGCCUGAACCGUGAGCCCCUCCAAGGCUGGGUGUAAACCCGACGACCUGCCCUAAUUCAUGACCUCGGAUCCACACACUGCCAGAGACACACGGAGCAGUGUGGCGGCCGCCCCCGUCCCCCGGCCUUCUGCGGCAUUGUUACGACUUGAUGCCUUGGCAAUAAAUGACGUGCCCGCUCAA